rnacentral:tRNA from 1 species
GCUCCUGUAGUCUAGACCGGUCAAGGAUACUGGCCUUUCAAGCCAGGGACUCGGGUUCGAAUCCCGGCGGGAGCA